GACAGAGUUCACAGACGAACUUGAGUUGUUAUCGAACUAGUUUCCUUUUACAUCUCGACGAGUAAACAUCGGAGCUCUCUCUUUCCAAGCAGAGAAUAAAUCAUACACUCGGGAAGUAAAGUCGGUGUCGGUCGUAACAAGAAAUUCGUCUUUAGUUUUUUAUUUUCGUCGAAGUUCUGUUUUCAUCACCUUGAAGAAAAUCGUUCAAUAACAACGAAGGUUGAAGAAUUUCGUUGCAAUAGUGCGCUAAUGUAGCAAUGAAGUAAUCGUGUAUUUGUAUUUUUAAUAUAAAAAAUAAAAAGUCGCGUAGUAGAAGCAGUGUUUGUUCGUUCGCGUUUCGCGAUUUAAACAACCAGUGUUUUUGCAUCGACUGCGAGCA